UAAAAAUGAAUUCAUAUGAUCCUGUGAAACAAUACUGAGAUUCCGAGAGAGAGGGGGAGUACAAAUUGCGGCAUAGUUAUUCCUAAUUCCUAAAUAAAUGAGCUCAUAACAGCUAUCAUGGUUGAUAUGGAAACAAGGGGUACAUAAUCCAAUAGGAAACCGCCAACAAAUAAAAGAGGGGAGAAUCACAAUCGAAAACCAUAACUUACUCAAAUGAACCAAAGAUUAAGCUGAAAUAACAAAGAAAAAGAAAGAAUAAUCGACGAACUGAAAUGAAUGUUUGUUCAAAAUAUAAUUGAGAUAAAGAAGGGAAGGAGAAGAAAUCACCUGCACUGCACACAGCGAGAGAGAGAGAGA
rnacentral:lncRNA from 1 species